rnacentral:rRNA from 1 species
GAUCCUGGCUCAGGAUGAACGCUGGCGGCGUGCCUAAUACAUGCAAGUCGAACGCUUCACUUCGGUGAAGAGUGGCGAACGGGUGAGUAAUACAUAAGUAACCUGGCAUCUACAGGGGGGAUAACUGAUGGAAACGUCAGCUAAGACCGCAUAGGUGUAGAGAUCGCAUGAACUCUAUAUGAAAAGUAGUCUACGGGACUGGUAGAUGAUGGACUUAUGGCGCAUUAG